GAUGAACGCUGGCGGCGUGCCUAAUACAUGCAAGUCGAGCGAACAGACGAGGAGCUUGCUCCUCUGACGUUAGCGGCGGACGGGUGAGUAACACGUGGAUAACCUACCUAUAAGACUGGGAUAACUUCGGGAAACCGGAGCUAAUACCGGAUAACAUGUUGAACCGCAUGGUUCAACAGUGAAAGACGGUCUUGCUGUCACUUAUAGAUGGAUCCGCGCCGCAUUAGCUAGUUGGUAAGGUAACGGCUUACCAAGGCAACGAUGCGUAGCCGACCUGAGAGGGUGAUCGGCCACACUGGAACUGAGACACGGUCCAGACUCCUACGGGAGGCAGCAGUAGGGAAUCUUCCGCAAAGGGCGAAAGCCUGACGGAGCAACGCCGCGUGAGUGAAGAAGGUCUUCGGAUCGUAAAACUCUGUUAUUAGGGAAGAACAAAUGUGUAAGUAACUAUGCACGUCUUGACGGUACCUAAACAGAAAGCCACGGCUAACUACGUG
rnacentral:rRNA from 1 species